UCUCGGCGACUCUCGCCCUCUUCUUCCUUCUCACCAAUGCCUCCAUCUACCGAACGGUCGUAGAAGUCGAGGAAGAUGAUGCCACAAACCCAGCCGGCCCAUUUCGGAUUCCGAAAUGUAGGAAGGAGUUUCAGCAAGCACAACACCUAAGAGCUUGCCAGCAAUGGCUCCACAAGCAGGCAAUGCAGUCCGGUAGUGGUCCAAGCUGGACCCUCGACGGUGAGUUUGAUUUUGAAGACGACAUGGAGAACCCUCAGAGCCCACAGCAGAGGCCACCGCUACUCCAGCAGUGCUGCAACGAGCUCCACCAGGAAGAGCCACUUUGUGUUUGCCCAACCUUGAAAGGAGCAUCCAAAGCCGUUAAACAACAGGUUCGACAACAGCAAGGACAGCAGGGACAGCAGCUGCAGCAAGUAAUUAGUCGUAUCUACCAGACUGCUACGCACUUACCUAAAGUUUGCAACAUCCCUCAAGUUAGCGUUUGUCCCUUCCAGAAGACCAUGCCUGGACCCUCCUACUAGAUUCCAAACGAAACCCUCGAGUGUAUGAAUGUGGUUGUCGGUAUAUGUCAACGCCACACUUCAUCGCGUAAUAUGUAAGGUCUUAUCUAGGAUGUUUGAGGCUAUGUAAUUAGCACUACUCCAUAAUAAAAGAGGNNNNNNNNNNNNNNNNNNNNNNNNNNNNNNNNNNNNNNNNNNNNNNNNNNNNNNNNNNNNNNNNNNNNNAAAAAAUAUUUUGAUAAGCGAAAAAUUAAAAUCAUGUAAUUAUAAACAGUUUUAAGUGAUAUAAAUUAAAAUAUAACAAAAUUGAAUUGUUUUCAACAUAGAUGAGUGUAGGUAGUGAAUCAUGGUAUUCUUUGGUCUAGGGUUUGACAACAUAUGUUGUAGUAUUGUAUGUAUACUUAGGGUUAGAUUUUGGAAAGCUUGAAUGUUUUUUUGAAAAAUUAAUUUUUUACCUAUGCAUGUUUAUUUUUGUGUAUAGUAAAUACUUUUGAAGUUUAAUUUGGUUUUAUGAAGUGUUUAGUUAGUUAAUUAAGUUUAGGGGUAAUGUUUAUGAUCUAGACUACUUACAUUUCAGUCGUAUGGUGAAGAAAUUAAAACAGACGACUUACAUGUAAGUCGUCCAAAUAUUUCCGCCUAAAAUUUUUUUAAAAAUUAUUUUCCCGCUUAAAUAAUAUAAACCAGACGACUUACUUGUAAGUCGUCUAGAAAGUGUUCUAUUUUAGUUUCUCACUAAAAAUAUUUUAAUUUCCCGCUAAAAAUAUUAAAACCUUCUGGACGACUUACAAGUAAGUCGUCUGAAUCAAACAUAUUUAACCUAAUUGAAUUUUUUGUCUCCCUAUAUAAAGAAAAAUUUACACAUUUUCUCUCCUCCUCUCAAAUGGCUGCAACAAAAAUGUAAUGUUCAUCACUCUAAAAGUCUUCAACCUCUCUCUAAUCUUUUUGACUUGAAAACACCAAACUUUAUAUGAAUUUUUCAGUUUUGUCUCAUGUCUUUCUUAAUAAUCUAUCUUUUUUGCAGGUUUUUAAUCAGAUGGUACUCAUCUUCCACUCAUUUAAAGGUAGAUCUAUUAAUUUUAGAUAUAUAUUUUUGUGUGUUCUAUAAAGGUAGAUUUAUCUAAUCUUCCACUCAUUUUCUCUAUUUUUAAGUCAUUUGAACGUUUUUGGAUAUGCAGGUUUUUCAGAUCUGGAUUUGAUAUGCAGGUUUUUCAGAUCUGGAAGACUUCUAUAAUGUUCUUGAUCGAUCACCGGUUUUUGAUGGUAUAUUACAAAGUCGAGCUCCAAAAGUUAAUUACAUUGUCAACGGACAUGAGUACCAUUUGGCUUACUAUCUCACAGAUGAUAUUUAUCCAAAAUGGGUUACUUUUGUCCAAUCUAUUCCACUCCCGCAAGGUCUGAAAGCAUCCUUAUUCGCUACACAUCAAGAAGCUGUAUGUAAAGAUGUCGAGCGUGCUUUUUGGGUCUUACAAGCUCGAUUUGCCAUAGUAAAAAAUCCAGCUCUUUUGUGGGAUAAAAUAAAAAUUGGAAAGAUAAUGAGAGCAUGUAUCAUUCUACAUAAUAUGAUCGUAGAAGACGAACGAGAUGAGUACACUCAGUUUGAUGUAUCAGUUUUCGCACAACCAGAAUCAAACCGAAGUUCACAAGUGGAUUUCACGUAUUCUACAGAUAUGCCUUCAAAACUCGGCAAUAUGAUGAGCAUUCGGAAUCGAGUUCGUGAUAAUACAAUACAUCAACAAUUGAAAGCGGAUUUGGUUGAGCAUAUAUGACAAAAAUUUGGAACAAUCAAGAUUUCAACUAAUCGGUUUUUUCUCGUUUACGAUUUGUAUUUGUAUUUUUAAUAUGCUUUUAUGUCAUUUUUAUUAAGAAUUUUAAUGUAUGAUUUUAUUUUUAAUCAUUCUAUUUAAAAAUGAAUUAUUUAAGAACCCCUUGGGGUUCUCCCAUUGGGAGAGGAAUACAUAAUUUCCUCAAACAAAGGUUCUUUAACUACUCAAAUCACUUUAUUAAAUAUUAAUUUACUCCUAAAAACCCAUUAGAGGUUCUAAUGGAUGGACUUGCUCUUAACGAUCCCGAAUUACAUAGUUAUGUGUUCUCACACUUUCUCUUACAAGUGUUUUUAACCGCUUGCUUAAACUUUAAAUUUUAGUUUACCAUGUAAUUAAUUAUGAUCAGUGCCAUUGUGUGAUUCCUUUUUCUUAAAUAUCUUAACUUGAAUUAACUAAAUGUUUAAAAGGAAAUUCGUUUUUUAUAAAAAAUAUACAAAAUGUCAGAAUAUGAACUACACAUCAUACAUGCAUGGUUGCAUGGCAUGUAGACGCGGAAACUUGUCACUCCUCCACAUUUGAGAUUCCAACACCUAAUCGCUACAAAAACCUUAUAGAUUCUCCCUUUCUCACAAACAAACAAACACAUUCAUGCAAUGUUACACGUGAUCUCCAUGCAGAACAUCUUUCACGCCUAUAAAUACCAACCAACACUCCACUUCCCUCUUCACUCAAACGAAAACAAGCAAAAAACAUACACACAAAUAGCAAAUGGCCAACAAGCUCUUUCUCGUCUCGGCGACUCUCGCCCUCUUCUUCCUUCUCACCAAUGCCUCCAUCUACCGAACGGUCGUAGAAGUCGAGGAAGAUGAUGCCACAAACCCAGCCGGUCCAUUUAGGAUUCCGAAAUGUAGGAAGGAGUUUCAGCAAGCACAACACCUAAGAGCUUGCCAGCAAUGGCUCCACAAGCAGGCAAUGCAGUCCGGUAGUGGUCCAAGCUGGACCCUCGAUGGUGAGUUUGAUUUUGAAGACGACAUGGAGAACCCUCAGAGCCCACAGCAGAGGCCACCGCUACUCCAGCAGUGCUGCAACGAGCUCCACCAGGAAGAGCCACUUUGUGUUUGCCCAACCUUGAAAGGAGCAUCCAAAGCCGUUAAACAACAGGUUCGACAACAGCAAGGACAGCAGGGACAGCAGCUGCAGCAAGUAAUUAGUCGUAUCUACCAGACUGCUACGCACUUACCUAAAGUUUGCAACAUCCCUCAAGUUAGCGUUUGUCCCUUCCAGAAGACCAUGCCUGGACCCUCCUACUAGAUUCCAAACGAAACCCUCGAGUGUAUGAAUGUGGUUGUCGGUAUAUGUCAACGC
rnacentral:lncRNA from 1 species